GCAACUCUUAGUAGAUCGGUUCAAUCUAUAUGAAAAUACAAAUCUAGCAAUAGAGAAUAAAAUGAUACAGAUUAGAAGAGGCCUAAAUAGAAUCUUCUCAUCUAUAUAUCCAUAUAUAUAUAAGCUGACUACAACACAAUUUGGUCAUUUUCCUGCCAAAACACACCAACCUUUUAACCAAUGUGUAAUUCAGUUCAUAUUAAGUGACUGCAUAAUAUAACUAAUUUUCAAUAGAAUGUUGUAAUACUUAAUUAUAUUGGUAACAGAAUUUGGGCAGUAAUUUUAGCUUAGUAUUUGUUAAACUUGGAGCCAAAUAUUAAAAUUCAGAAUCAAGUUUNUUCGUCAAAAAUCAAUUGCAAACAUUACAUUGGUCCUUAAUGAUUGGAUAUUAACUAUAGGUAUACAAAUCAAGUCGUAUUUGUCGUUUUGUAAGUAGCAUCAAGAGAAAUGACAUCGCCAAAGUGAUGAUAAUCUAUAAGGCAACGACUAUCCCUAAAUAAUAGAUUUUUUAACCUUCUGUCAUCUAGCUUUAACCCUCUAAUAGAAGGACGGAUCUGUCAAUCCUUUUUUAGCCAAAUACUCCAAGAGUUUGUUGGCAUCCGUAUUGUCAACCUUAGACAUCAUUUUCCUCUCACGAUGUAACUCGUCAUAUUCAUACUUCGGUACAAAUCCGAUAUUUUCUACACUACCCACUUCAUUAUCCACAAAAUAGUAAGCACAACUAAUUCCAAUGCCGCUAUCUUUCAUAGCUAGUAACAAAGUCUUCUUCGACUGAGACAUAUUGCGCGUCGAUCUUAGAAAAUAACUAUAUGAUGGAUCAACCAAUCACUACUAGAAAAACGCUCAUAGAUAACGGAUUUUAUCCGUUAUCUAUGAGCAAAAAAACCGUUGUGUAUAGUGGUGUUAUCUAUUCUAUACGUCAUACACAACGGUUUCAAAACCUUUAUGUAUAGUAGCAUAGAUAACGGUACGAUGCAUCAUACAUAACAGUACGCAUCCGUUAUCUAUAAAGGUUAUACAUAACGGUUUUUCACCGUUAUGUAUUAAGAUUUUUCCGUUAUGUAUUAAUUUUUUUUUUUUUUUAUCAUAGUUAACAAUUUUUUGCACUUUUUAUAACGGUUUUAACCGUUAUCUUUGAUAGAAUACAUAACGGUUUUUCACCGUUAUGUAUUAAGAUUUUUUCGUUAUGUUAUUAAUUUUUUUUUUUAUUUUCACAGUUUUUUGCACUUUUUUAUAACGGUUUUAACCGUUAUCUUUGAUAUAAUACAUAACGGUUUUUUGCACUUUUUAUAACGAUUUUUUGCACUUUUUAUAACGAUUUUUGCAAUUUUAUAACGUUUUUAACCGUUAUCUUUGAUUAGAAUACAUAACGAUUUUUGCACCUUUUAUAACAGUUUUUUUCACUUUUUAUAAUUGUAGUAUAUUUUAAAUUUUGUAAUUUUUAUAAAACGACAAAAUGAUAAAAUCAACGAUAACAAUAUUAUAUAUCAUCCAAAAAAUUCAUACAUUAUUAUACAAAUGAACCAAAUAUCAAGUAUACAUCAUCAUUGCAUAUUCCGAUUCAAAAUUGAAAAUACCAACUACCUUAUAGCUAAAACAAAAAUCUAUCAUACUAUGUAUUCUAGCACUAAGUCCUCAAGAACUAGUUGCUCUUUCCUGAAAUCCUUCUUCCUCAUGAAAGUAAUCUGCAAUAGAGAUUUAAUGAAAAAUGAAGAAUGACCGCUACCUUCAGAAUUAUUAAAGUGACAACUAAAAAAAUAGGCACCAAGAUAGGCAAUCGUAUGAGGUAGCUUAAAGUGCACCUGAGCCCUUCUUUUCUCUUCCAUCUCUUCCUUGAGGGCUUCGUUACUGCACCCGUUGAUCCAUAAUCAAUUCCUUCUACUACUCCUCUUCUCUGCAAAAGCCAAGGACACAAAAUUUCAGCAUACCAAUGAUCAAGAAACAAAUGAGUUGUAGGAAUGACAUGAUAUUGAACAAGAAAUUAAAAGCAAUGCCCAAGCUAAAACAACCAUUCAACAAACAUACGGGGUAUAAAGAAUCAUGACAAAAACAAUUGGUAUUUCAAUAAGAUCGAUAAUAUGAAGCAUAUAAUGCAGCACUCAGCAGAAAUAUACACCACAGGAAACUACAGGAGAAGAUGCAAUUCUAAUAGGAAAAAUGGAUUAAAAGUAGGCGUUUACCACUAAUUUAUUGUACGACAAAUGUUCUCUUCUGUCGGCUACUGAAGCCCGAAUAAGUUCCCCAGUAUACUCAAUCACCUUAAAUGCAACAAAAUGGCAACUUAAUAUGUUGAACCUCAAAAAUUAGAAAGAGAUGGUUGUCAUAGCAAUUUACCAUGUCUCCAGCUCUAUAUGGAAGUUUAGUGAAGACACCAAAUCCAUGUAUACGAGACUUCCCUGUGGCCAAAUUAUUUCAAAGGUGGAUGAUUAAACAGAGUACUUCCCACUAAUUUAUUGCAAGAUAUGGAACUCAUGCCCACAAAAGAGAAACCUUAACAACAAUUAGGAAUCAACUGAUUUUCAAUAUGCAACUCUUAGUAGAUCGGUUCAAUCUAUAUGAAAAUACAAAUCUAGCAAUAGAGAAUAAAAUGAUACAGAUUAGAAGAGGCCUAAAUAGAAUCUUCUCAUCUAUAUAUCCAUAUAUAUAUAAGCUGACUACAACACAAUUUGGUCAUUUUCCUGCCAAAACACACCAACCUUUUAACCAAUGUGUAAUUCAGUUCAUAUUAAGUGACUGCAUAAUAUAACUAAUUUUCAAUAGAAUGUUGUAAUACUUAAUUAUAUUGGUAAACAGAAUUUGGGCAGUAAUUUUAGCUUAGAUUUGUUAAACUUGGAGCCAAAUAUUAAAAUUCAGAAUCAAGUUUAAGAGCCAAAACUUUUCCUAUAAUUACAAGGGCCUUCUGUUCGUUUUAGUAAAACAUUUCCAAAAAAAUCGUGUGGUUUUUAUCUUUCAACAUUUCUGUUCUUUCAUUUUCAAAAAUCCUUUCUAUUUGAAGUUACGAUUUUGAGAAAACAAGAUUUUUUAUUCAUUAUCAACAUCUUCAUUUCAAAAUUAUUUUGUGGGACUUCUUAUUUUCUAGGAAUAUAAUUGUUUAAAUGAAAUAACAGCAUCUGAUAGCUUUAUUAGCAUUGUUUCCCUAUUCGAAGAAUAAAAUAGUACUACUAAACCACUAUUGUCCAGUUAAAAUACAUGCAAAAAACCGCAGUUCAGAGUUUAUAAUGAUAAUGAUAAAAAGUAAUUGAAGAAUCCAUACCUCUUUGGUGUUGUUCGAUUUUUAUGUAUCAAACUUCUUUGCUAGCUUCACUAGAAAGAUGGUCCUUAACCUGCAAAAUAAUCCAUAAUGUUAGUAUCCAUUCAAACUGACCCAAUUAAAAUUGAACGAUGAAAAUAUUCUGGAAUAGAAUAACUACCUGAAACUUCUUUAUGAAGUCAUGCCCUAGCUUCAUUAUCUCGCCUAAGAGUUUUCAGCAAUACCAUCUUUAUUGAACCAUAGGCAAUCCAGGAUUCUUGGAAGAUUCUUCUUAAAAUAGCCUCCUUCGAAUCCGCCACCCAGAAAUUACUGUUAGGCUAAAGUUUUGUGUAGAAA
rnacentral:lncRNA from 1 species